rnacentral:rRNA from 1 species
UAGUUAUAUUCUUGAAAUUAAAGAAUUUGGCGGUAUUUUAAUCUAAUUAGAGGAACCUGUUUUAUAAACGAUAAACCACGAAAAAUCUAACCUGUUUUAAAUAGUUUGUAUACCGUCAUUAUUAGAAAAUUUUUAAAGAGUAAAUUUUUAGAAUUAAAAAAAAAUUAAAUAUAUUAGAUCAAGGUGCAAUAAAUAAGCAGGGAAAAAUGGGUUACAAUAAAGUAUUUUAUUACGAAACUAAGAUUUUUAAAUAAACUAGGGAAGGAGGAUUUAAUUGUAUGUUAAUUUUAAUAAGUUUAACAAAAA